GGGAAUUUUCCGCAAUGGGCGAAANCCUGACGGAGCAAUACCGCGUGGGGGAGGAAGGCUCUUGGGUUGUAAACCCCUUUUCUCAGGGAAGAAAAAAAUGACGGUACCUGAGGAAUAAGCAUCGGCUAACUCCGUGCCAGCAGCCGCGGUAAUACGGAGGAUGCAAGCGUUAUCCGGAAUGAUUGGGCGUAAAGCGUCUGUAGGUGGUUUGGCAAGUCUGCCGUUAAAGGUCGGGGCUCAACUCCGAAAAGGCGGUGGAAACUGCCAGACUAGAGUGUGGUAGGGGUAGAGGGAAUUCCCGGUGUAGCGGUGAAAUGCGUAGAUAUCGGGAAGAACACCGGUGGCGAAGGCGCUCUACUGGGCCACAACUGACACUGAGGGACGAAAGCUAGGGGAGCGAAAGGGAUUAGAUACCC
rnacentral:rRNA from 1 species